UUUGCGAAAGAAUUUGGAACAAUACAGAGAAGAUCAGUAUGGCCCCUGUGCAAGGAUUACACGCAAAUUCAUGAAAUACCUGGAAAUUAA
rnacentral:snRNA from 1 species